rnacentral:lncRNA from 1 species
AAGAAACUGAGGCUCAAAGAGGUUAAAAGAACUUGCUCAAGGUCAUACAUCUAGCAUGAAUCUGGGCCAGGAUUUUAAACCCAGGCAGUCCAGCUCCAGAAUGGACACCCUUAACCACUCUGCCAUGCAUGUCAACUCAAAGUAGCGCCACCCAAGGAUUGAUGAUUCUGAAAUCUGUCAUCUCUAAAGGAAAAGCAGAAACAAACCACAGAACCAGGGGAGCUGGCUGAUAAUGAGUCACAUUGCUGCUGGCAGUUCUCCACUCAGUCCUCUGGCCUCUGCAUCUGGGACUUCUUGCUUGUCCUUCAAGAUCCACUGCAAAAAUGUCUUGUCUCCACAAAGGCUUCCUUGACUGCAUCCCCA